rnacentral:lncRNA from 1 species
GGCCCUUUCCGGCAACCUGAUUGGUUAAAAUGACUUCCUUGUUUCAAAAUAUCUCCCACGAAGAAUCUACGUAAAGACAUAGAAGGAGAAAAUCUCGAAGAAUAUACCUACAGUAUGUGAACAAAAAUAGGCGAUCUCAGUUAGCCAAUGAGAGAAAAGCAGUGAAUGAAAGAAAAAGAUUAGCCUGAUCAGCCAAUCGAGGCAGUGGCAGUACAGGUAGAGGAGGAAAAGGAAGUAGCCGGCAGCAGCACGUUGAGACGCAAAUUAGUUGAGAUGAAGUUGAUAGCUAGCAGCGAUCAACCAGUCAGCAGCCAGCCAACAGAGGCUUUUAUUCCACAUGUCACAAAUAAACUAACUUGAUUUGCCUUAAGUGUGUAAACACUGGACUGAAAAUCACCAUAGACACCACCAACCAGGGAUUCUGUAAAUCUAGAUAAAAUGUGCACACUAUGAAGCUGAUCAUGAUGCAUUUAGGAGGAGUGUUUACACUUCCUUCAGGCUGCAGGAGUGCUCCAGGGGAGAUGUGGCAUUUGAUAUACAUUUGAGGAUGGUUGUUCUAGCCCACGAACUUGGACUUGGUUAUGCAGCUCUAAAGAAAAUAAGCAAAGUCCUAGGGACUCCUUCCUUGCGUCUCAGCUCAUAUCAGACAUGUCAGGAGAGUGACAGUUGGAACUCACUUGGUGAAGUCUACAGGACUGAAAAUGAACGAAUUCAACAACCAUGUUUCUGUCACUAACAAAUACAGUCAACUCUACAAUUCCCUCGAAAAGGCAAGGCACAGCGGGAAAUUAUAUUGGAGGUGUGGCUAAGUGGGGAUGUGGCUUUCAAUUAGUUAUUUUUUGCCACCAGUGAGUGGAAGUAUUGUUCCAGUUUUAACCUCAUAAUGAUCUGACCCUUUUUUUAAAAACAUUUUGGGCUAAAAUGACAUACCCAAAUAUAACUACCUGUAGCUCAGGCCUUGAAGCAAGGAUAUGCAUAUUCUUGUUACCAUUUGAAAGGAAACACUUUUAUGAAAAGUUUGUGAAAAUGUGAAAUGAAUGUAGGAGAAUAUAACACAUUAGGUAACAGUUAAUACAAAGAAAAACAUAUGUUUUUG